AUAACCUUGCCAUAAGCAGCAAAGGGCUUGGUGAACCCUCAAAAAGGCCGUCAAACACCCAGAGGCCUUGGGGAUCAGGAAGGAGCUAUCAUGUGGUCUUUCAUCUAAGAGAGAAUUGUCCUGCCUGAUGGGCUUCAAACCACCAGAACAUCAGUUCUUCCUGGUUCUGCAGUAGUCUCCAACCUUCAGACUCAAACUUCAGCACCUGUUCUUCAGAUUUUGGACUUGCAGCCUCUAUAAUCACAUGAGCCAAUUCCUUAUAUAAAUUUAUUUAUACAUGCUGACAGUUGGUUCUGUUUCUCUGGAUAACCCUGACUGUUAGAGCUGUCACCUCAAAUUUGUUUUCUUAUAUUUGGUGUCUGUUUUGGAGUACUUACAAGUGCUUAAAAUGUUCUUUUUCAAUUAGGUGAGUCUCAGUCUCUAAGAUAAUUUUUUUAUUGUUCUAUUUUAUAGAUUACAUGUUAAUGUCAAUUAAGCUAUAAACAUUUUAUUGCUGAUACAUUAUCAAAAUGCUUUUCAAACAGCCAUUUCCAACAGUCUAUUCUUU
rnacentral:lncRNA from 1 species